CACGGGAGGGCAAGCGUUGUCCGGAAUCACUGGGCGUAAAGGGCGUGUAGGCGGUCAGGUAAGUGAGAUGUGAAAUGCCCCGGCUCACCCGGGGACCGGCAUCUCAUACUGCUUGGCUUGAGUACGGGAGAGGAUGUGGGAAUUCCUGGUGUAGCGGUGAAAUGCGUAGAGAUUGGAAAGAACACCGAUGGCGAAGGCACUUUUACUGGGCUAUUACUAACACUCAGAGACGAAAGCUAGGGUAGCAAAUGGG
rnacentral:rRNA from 1 species